rnacentral:rRNA from 1 species
UUUUUAUGUCUCCACCUGUGCACCUUUUGUAGACCUUUCCAGGUCUNUGUUGCUUCNUUUACCCCUAAUGNAUGUUAANAAAAUGUUGUGCCUGUAUAAUACAUACAACUUUCANCAACGGAUCUCUUGGCUCUCGCAUCAAUGAAUAACGCAGCGAAAUGCUGAUAAGUAUAUGUGAAUUGCAGAAUUCAUGUGAAUCAUCUAAUCUUUGAACGCACCUUGCGCUCCUUGGUAUUCCGAGGAGCAUGCCUGUUUGAUUGUCAUUAAUAUAUCAACACUUCUCUUCUUUUGUAGUAGAGUGGUUUUGGAUGUGGGGGCUUGCUGGGCCUUCUUGANAAAGUUCAGCUCCCCUGANAUGCAUUUAGCAUUAACACACUUCUGUUCAUUGGUGUGAUAACUAUCUACCCUAUUGAACAUGA